AGAAUGAACGCUGGCGGCAUGCCUAACACAUGCAAGUCGAACGAAGCCUUCGGGUUUAGUGGCGCACGGGUGCGUAACGCGUGGGAAUCUGCCCCUUGGUUCGGAAUAACAGUUGGAAACGACUGCUAAUACCGGAUGACGACGUAAGUCCAAAGAUUUAUCGCCGAGGGAUGAGCCCGCGUAGGAUUAGGUAGUUGGUGUGGUAAAGGCGCACCAAGCCGACGAUCCUUAGCUGGUCUGAGAGGAUGAUCAGCCACACUGGGACUGAGACACGGCCCAGACUCCUACGGGAGGCAGCAGUGGGGAAUAUUGGACAAUGGGCGAAAGCCUGAUCCAGCAAUGCCGCGUGAGUGAUGAAGGCCUUAGGGUUGUAAAGCUCUUUUACCCGGGAUGAUAAUGACAGUACCGGGAGAAUAAGCUCCGGCUAACUCCGUGCCAGCAGCCGC
rnacentral:rRNA from 1 species